rnacentral:rRNA from 1 species
CACGUAGGGGGCGAGCGUUGUCCGGAAUUACUGGGCGUAAAGGGCGCGCAGGCUGUUAUGCGAGUCUGCUGUGAAAUGUACCGGCUCAACCGGUGCCUUGCGGCGGAUACUGCAUAGCUGGAGUACUGGAGAGGGAAGUGGAAUACCCGGUGUAGCGGUGAAAUGCGUAGAUAUCGGGAGGAACACCGGUGGCGAAGGCGGCUUUCUGGCCAGUUACUGACGCUCAUGCGCGAAAGCUGGGGUAGCGAACCGGAUUAGAUACCCU